rnacentral:rRNA from 1 species
CAGGAUGAACGCUGGCGGCGUGCCUAACACAUGCAAGUCGAGCGAUUUACUUCGGUAAAGAGCGGCGGACGGGUGAGUAACGCGUGGGUAACCUGCCUCAUACACAUGGAUAACAUACCGAAAGGUAUGCUAAUACAGGAUAAUAUUAAGAGAUUCACAUAGGAUUUCUUAUCAAAGCUCCGGCGGUAUGAGAUGGACCCGCGUCUGAUUAGCUAGUUGGUAAGGUAAUGGCUUACCAAGGCGACGAUCCAGUAGCCGACCUGAGAGGGUGAUCGGCCACAUUGGAACUGAGACACGGUCCAAACUCCUACGGGAGGCAGCAGUGGGGAAUAUUGCACAAUGGGCGAAAGCCUGAUGGCAGCAACGCCGCGUGAGUGAUGUAAGGCCUUCGGGUCGUAAAACUCUGUCCUCAAGGAAGAUAAUGACGGUACUUGAGGAGGAAGCCCCGGCUAACUACGUGCCAGCCGCCGC